rnacentral:rRNA from 1 species
GACGAACGCUGGCGGCGUGCUUAACACAUGCAAGUCGAACGGAAAGGCCCUGCUUUUGUGGGGUGCUCGAGUGGCGAACGGGUGAGUAACACGUGAGUAACCUGCCCUUGACUUUGGGAUAACUUCAGGAAACUGGGGCUAAUACCGGAUAGGAGCUCCUGCUGCAUGGUGGGGGUUGGAAAGUUUCGGCGGUUGGGGAUGGACUCGCGGCUCAUCAGCUUGUUGGUGGGGUAGUGGCUUACCAAGGCUUUGACGGGUAGCCGGCCUGAGAGGGUGACCGGCCACAUUGGGACUGAGAUACGGCCCAGACUCCUACGGGAGACAGCAGUGGGGAAUAUUGCACAAUGGGCGGCAGCCUGAUGCAGCAACGCCGCGUGCGGGAUGACGGCCUUCGGGUUGUAAACCGCUUUCGCCUGUGACGAAGCGUGAGUGACGGUAAUAAGUAAAGAAGCACCGGCUAACUACGUG